AACGAGCGCAACCCUUGACCUUUAGUUGCCAGCAGCUCGGCUGGGCGACUCUAAAGGGACUGCCCGUGUUAAACCGGAGGAAGGUGGGGAUGACGUCAAGUCCUCAUGGCCUUUAUGACCAGGGCUACACACGUACUACAAUGGCCGAUACAAAGGGCAGCGACACUGCGAGGUGAAGCCAAUCCCGUAAAAUCGGUCUCAGUCCGGAUUGGAGUCUGCAACUCGACUCCAUGAAGUUGGAAUCGCUAGUAAUCGUGGAUCAGCAUGCCACGGUGAAUACGUUCCCGGGCCUU
rnacentral:rRNA from 1 species